rnacentral:rRNA from 1 species
ACACGGACCAAGGAGUGCAACAUGCGUGCGAGUCUUGGGGUGGAAAACCUGUUGGCGCAAUGAAAGUGAAGGCAGGCAUUGGUCUGCCGAGGCAAGAGCCUCCUCUUGGGGGCACAUUGUCGACCGAUCCCAGGCUACGCUGUAGUGGGAUUUGAGUGAGAGCGUGCCUGUUGCGACCCGAAAGAUGGUGAACUAUGCCUGAAUAGGGCGAAGCCAGAGGAAACUCUGGUGGAAGCUCGUAGCGAUUCUGACGUGCAAAUCGAUCGUCAAAUUUGGGUAUAGGGGCGAAAGACUAAUCGAACCAUCUAGUAGCUGGUUCCCUCCGAAGUUUCCCUCAGGAUAGCUGGAGCCCGGUGCAGUUUUAUCAGGUAAAGCGAAUGAUUAGAGGUCUUGGGGUUGAAACAACCUCAACCUAUUCUCAAACUUUAAAUGGGUAAGAAGCUCGGCUUGCUUAGCUGAAGUCGGGCCUGGAAUGCCGGGGCUUCUAGUGGGCCAUUUUUGGUAAGCAGAACUGGCGAUGCGGGAUGAACCGAAAGCUGGGUUAAGGUGCCCGAGUCGACGCUCAUCAGAUACCAUGAAAGGUGUUGGUUGAUCUAGACAGCAGGACGGUGGCCAUGGAAGUCGGAAUCCGCUAAGGAGUGUGUAACAACU